AUUGAACGCUGGCGGCAUGCCUUACACAUGCAAGUCGAACGGUAACAGGUCUUCGGAUGCUGACGAGUGGCGAACGGGUGAGUAAUGCAUCGGAACGUGCCCAGUUGUGGGGGAUAACUGCUCGAAAGAGCAGCUAAUACCGCAUACGACCUGAGGGUGAAAGCGGGGGAUCGCAAGACCUCGCGCAAUUGGAGCGGCCGAUGUCAGAUUAGGUAGUUGGUGGGGUAAAGGCCUACCAAGCCGACGAUCUGUAGUUGGUCUGAGAGGACGACCAGCCACACUGGGACUGAGACACGGCCCAGACUCCUACGGGAGGCAGCAGUGGGGAAUUUUGGACAAUGGGCGCAAGCCUGAUCCAGCAAUGCCGCGUGCAGGAAGAAGGCCUUCGGGUUGUGAACUGCUUUUGUCAGGGAAGAAAUCCUCUGGGUUAAUACCCCGGGGGGAUGACGGUACCUGAAGAAUAAGCACCGGCUAACUACGUGCCAGCCGCCGCAGUAAGAC
rnacentral:rRNA from 1 species